ACUCACUUCAAGUAAAAUGACUGAAUGGUAUCCACAAUGACGGGGAAUUAAACAGCCACAUGAAAGAUGAAUUCAUUUCUCUGUUAUGGAAGGAGAUUAUAUACAAUGUGUAAGAGAGGCCAGAGAGAAGAGACAGUACUUACUGGGAGGCCUUGGUGUUGCUUCAGGAGUUCUUACCUGUUCCGAAGAGCUGGCAGGCAGAGCCACUGCUGAUCUUUCUCUGCUACAACAGAGCCACCCUUACUGCUUACUGACCAGGAGCUCCACAUCAGGGUUCUGGAGCAAUCUGCAGAGGAGAAUCCACCUACAUGUGAAGUUGUUGAAUGUUUUGAUUUUCUGCUAUUCCUCCACCUCUUCCCUUCAGUAAGCAACCAGAACAGCUUUGCAUCCUGCUUAUCCCUUGAUAAUUCAGCAUUCAGUGGACUAAUAAUAUGGAUAUUGAGGAAGCCUGGAACAGAAAGUCUGCUUGCUGACAAAGCAUAAGUAAGCUUUAGCUGGUACUUACAGACAGAUGUAUAUAGCAGCUGGAUCUGAAAGAAGAUUUGGAGUGCUCAGCACUUGUUUGAGG
rnacentral:lncRNA from 1 species